UAGGAAUGUAAAUGGAUCCGGGUUGGUAGAGCUCCCGUUUCGAUCCGCUCCGAAUUAGACAGUAAACGGGAGGAAAUAAACGGAUUCGGGACAGAAAAUAGAGCAAUUUUUAUGAUCUGAGGCAGAUUCGGGCAGAAAACAAAAAUAUUUUUGAUCCGCUCUGAAUUCACCCCGAAAAUCAUUUAUAUAUUUCUUUGAAAUGCCCCUGAAAAAUAAUAUAUUUAUAAAAAAUCCAACUAUAUUUAGCAAUUUAGCUUUUAUUUUGCUAACCCUAAUAAAAAGUCUCACAAGUCACAACCCCUCCACCAGGACCACCUCAACUCCUUCUCCCCCGACACGACCUGCCGCCGCCCAUUUCCUUGCCUCCGCCGGCCACCGCCCUUUCCCUCGCCUCCGCCGGCCGCCGCCCUUUUCCUCGCCUCCGUCUUCUUUUUUGCCUUUGUUUACGAGUAUCGUAUCCUCAACGGCUUCAACACGCGUAUUUUUUUUCUUUUCCCUAUUU
rnacentral:lncRNA from 1 species